rnacentral:rRNA from 1 species
GACGAACGCUGGCGGCGUGCUUAACACAUGCCAGUCGAACGGAAAGGCCCUGCUUGCCGGGUACUCGAGUGGCGAACGGGUGAGUAACACGUGGGUGAUCUGCCCUGCACUUCGGGAUAAGCCUGGGAAACUGGGUCUAAUACCGGAUAGGAGCCAUUUUUAGUGUGAUGGUUGGAAAGUUUUUUCGGUGUAGGAUGAGCUCGCGGCCUAUCAGCUUGUUGGUGGGGUAAUGGCCUACCAAGGCGGCGACGGGUAGCCGGCCUGAGAGGGUGGACGGCCACAUUGGGACUGAGAUACGGCCCAGACUCCUACGGGAGGCAGCAGUGGGGAAUAUUGCACAAUGGGCGCAAGCCUGAUGCAGCGACGCCGCGUGGGGGAUGACGGCCUUCGGGUUGUAAACUCCUUUCGCUAGGGACGAAGCUUUUGUGACGGUACCUAGAUAAGAAGCACCGGCUAACUACGUG